rnacentral:rRNA from 1 species
UACGUAGGGGGCUAGCGUUGUCCGGAAUCAUUGGGCGUAAAGCGCGUGUAGGCGGCCCGAUAAGUCCGCUGUGAAAGUCCAGGGCUCAACCCUGGGAUGCCGGUGGAUACUGUCGGACUAGAGUCCGGAAGAGGCAAGUGGAAUUCCCGGUGUAGCGGUGAAAUGCGCAGAUAUCUGGAGGAACACCGGUGGCGAAGGCGGCAUCCUGGACCACGACUGACGCUGAGGAGCGAAAGCCAGGGGAGCAAACGGG